rnacentral:rRNA from 1 species
UACGUAGGGUGCGAGCGUUGUCCGGAAUUAUUGGGCGUAAAGAGCUCGUAGGCGGUCUGUCGCGUCCGCUGUGAAAACUCGGGGCUUAACCCCGAGCCUGCAGUGGAUACGGGCAGACUAGAGGUAGGUAGGGGAGAAUGGAAUUCCCGGUGUAGCGGUGAAAUGCGCAGAUAUCGGGAGGAACACCGGUGGCGAAGGCGGCUCACUGGCCCGUAACUGACGCUCAUGCACGACAGCGUGGGGAGCAAACAGG